ensembl:lncRNA
CUGUUAGCUAUUCCCAUAAGGUAGGGAGGGCAGGGGUUAACUAUUUUUGAUAAACGGACGGACAGGUUUAAGUAACUUCAGUUCUGACUCAUUCCUAUUCCACUACAGUUGUAAGUCUCAAAGUUACAGGAACUAAAUCAGAAUCGCCUGGGAAGCUUUUAAAAAUGUCGCCUGGGUCUCCUAGUCUUAGCAUUUUUCAAAAGGAGCAAAGAGGACUCGGGGGGGAAAAUUUCCAUUUCCCCACAUAUUUUGGAUUCAUGACUCUCACCAGGUAUACAUGAAAAUUACAAGGUUAUUUCCUAUACUGGCUCAGCCACAGUUUAAAGAGGCUAUCAUUUGCAGAUCUAUAUUGUGAACUCAGCCAAAGACAUUGCUCACACCAGGCCCACUCUCCCAUUUCCUGAAGCCUGCCCUCAUAUUUGCUACGUUGUUUAAGAUGUGUUCACCUUAGGGAGGAAGCUGCUGCUGGUCCACUCUUAGAGCCAAGUCUUAAUCGCUUGUUGCCCUAUUGUGUUCCCUGGCCAGUGAGAGAGGAGGUAGUUGCUGAACAUCUGGCUGAGGAGUAUCUUGUAACUCUAGAUUCUUUUCCCUCAUUUUAAUGAGUUUCUUCCCUGGGUUCUUUUUCGAGGCCAGUGGUAUCACAUCAGUGCCAAAGUGCCAGCCAUGAAGGGUUGACCCUUUGGUGGACAAACAGCACGGGUUCAGUUGGCACCCGAGUACCAAACUGAGCUACUGCUGUUGCUGUUCAGGACCCUGGUUUCCAGUUUACGAGAACUUUCUCUUAGUAGGAGAUGGCAUCUCCCUCUCUGAACAGUCCUCCACACCGGACCCCUUCAUGGGUUUGUGCCAAAGUUAGCAAUUUGGAUAAAGAUGUUAAGAGUUUUGAAGUCAGAGUCUAAAAGUAAUUAUACAAAUGGACCCUUCCUUAGUAUAUUACUAGAUAAUACAUGUUACUAGAACAGCAAACCAUAAAUAAACCUUCUGACCUUGCUAUAUUGACAUGAAGUUAGCAAAUAUUGUCAUACAUCACUCGAUAAUCAUUCAACACCAGCCUUUCUCUCUUUAAUUUCUCUUCCAUCUUUUUCCCCAUCACCUAUGGUGUACUCAAACACAACUUUCCAAGAGUUAUUUGAAAAGAAGCAUUACAGGAUUUAUUAAGUGUAACACGUAAAAAAGGUACACAAACUUAACAAUUAAAAUCCAGUAGGCAUUGUUGCCACUUAUAAUAGCUUAACAUUUGGCCCAACACUUAAUGUCAAGUCGGAAGUGCUACUGCCAUAAAAACCUUAUUGAAUUUUUCUGGCUUUUUGUGGAAGUUAAGAUUCUGAGUCCAGAAACCAAUGUCUUCCAAAGGGGUUGACUAGCAGACAAGUCGAAAUGAAUAUUAGUAACUUUCAGUGGAGAAAAGGAUGUUCAUAAUAAACAUUUCUCAGCUCCCUAAUUAGGUAAUGAGGUAUUGGCCUUUAAGUGUUGCAGCUAUAAUUAAGUAUUUGGUUUUGGAAAACUACCUCCUAAAACCAGGAAAUGUCAGUGACAGUGUAGAAUUCUACAUGGAGUGCCUGCAGGACUAGAAGUAGAAUGUGGUUUUUUGAUGAUUAAAAAUGGUUUCUCUCCCAGCCAAUUCUUCUGUUCAAUAAAUUACACACAGGGAGGAUGCUGUUCAGAGCUGCUUAACUUGAGUUACCCUGUGGUGUCC